AACGCGAAGAACCUUCCCUAGGCUUGACAUGCACGGAAAUCUCGCAGAGAUGGGGGGUCCGUAAGGGCCGUGCACAGGUGGUGCAUGGUUGUCGUCAGCUCGUGUCGUGAGAUGUUGGGUUAAGUCCCGCAACGAGCGCAACCCUCGUCCCAUGUUGCCAGCGCGUGAUGGUGGGGACUCAUAGGAGACUGCCGGGGUCAACUCGGAGGAAGGUGGGGAUGACGUCAAAUCAUCAUGCCCCUUAUGUCUAGGGCUGCAAACAUGCUACAAUGGCCGGUACAAAGGGCUCGAUACCGCGAGGUGGAGCGAAUCCCAAAAAGCCGGUCUCAGUUCGGAUUGGGGUCUGCAACUCGACCCCAUGAAGUCGGAGUC
rnacentral:rRNA from 1 species